UCAAGUCUGGGGAGGAGCGUGUGCUCUUAAGAUGACUACCUUUUAAUCAGAGAUUAUCACUCUCCAUUUCCAUUAGUCUCUCUUUUUUUGGCAUGUGAUGUAUGCUAAAUUAAAUAGGAUUUAUUGGUUCAGCUAGAUUCUGAAUUACCCUCUUUUCCUGUGGAUUAGGAGAGUGCAUUUUUAGCCCUUUUCCUUGAAAUCCAUCAGGAUCUUUUAUGUGGACUAUCUAGUAUUCUGCACACUUCCAAUGCUUAAUAAAUAUUACAUUACAAUAUUAGCAUAAUAAUAAAUCAUCUUAAAGUACUACCUGGGCUAUUGAGAUCCCAUUCAGUUUGAGCCAAGACAUCAAAAAGUUUUAUUUUCUCUAUAUGCAUGCAAAAUAAUUUAAAACUCCCUUUCCAUGAAAUGUCCUUGCAUCCAUAAGUCUACAUGUUACAAAGUGAAGUGGUGAAGUGUGUACCUUCCAGUUACACAUUUCACUUGUUCAAUAUAUUCUGGGGACUGAAUUUGCCAUUUUAAUAAGAGAGAGUUUAAAAUUGGGCAGACAAAAAUGGAAAUAGCACCAUUUGUCAAGUAAAUGUUCUUUUCCCAAUGGCAAUUCUGAAAUUUUUAUACAAGAUUACCAGGCCAGCAGCUAGAUAGUGUUUCUUGCCAUUAAGAAGUUCUGCUUUGUCUAUGAUUGGUUAUGUCACACAGACCUAGAGUAACAGCCACUGAAAACAUGAGGAUUUUCCUUACAGUUACAGAAACAAAAAUGAAGUAGAAAAUGAUUCCGUUAACACAAUACUAUCCUCACUGGUUGCUUUAAGGACGGUCCUAGUUUGAAACUGCCAUCAAGGAAAAGAAUAAAAAUAUUUCCCUUCCAAAGAUAGUGUUCAAAUAUUGUACAUUUUAUCCACCUAUAUAUAAAUCAAAUGGUAUAAAAAUGAUGCAUCAUCUGUGGUAGAUAGCAAAAUGGCCCAGAUCACCUCCUUACAGUGUAAUUUUGCAAUUAGUCCUCCUCCCCAUCAAUAGAUAAGAGUUUUGUUUUGUUUUGUUUUGUUUUUUACCCUUUACACCUGAACUGAUGUUGUGACUUGCUUUGGCUAACAGAAUGUGGCAAAAGCAAUGCUGUACCAAUUUUGAGCCCUACCUCAUGCAGUCUUCAAGCAUUCCUGUAAGAAGGCUGUCCAGUUGCCAUGCAGACAAGCCUAAGCUAGCAUUCUGGUUAAUGAGAGGCAUGUAGCCUAGUCACUCCCAGUGUCCAAUCCAAUCCCCAGAAACAGGGCUACCUUGAUGACUGGCAGCUGCCUGCAGAUGCCUAUAGAUGUAUGAAGAAGCCCAGUUGAGACUAGAAGAACUGUGCACCAAAGCCCAGCCUAAACUGCCAAUGGUUCUUGUAAGUCCCCACAUUUUGAGGUGUUUGUUAUACAGCAACAAAUAACAGAUACAUCUUUUUCUUACAUUAUUGGAAAUAAAAAUUUGAAUAUUAUUUAGCUCAAAUGUUGUUAUUUUUCACAACCUUUUCAUUACUGAAUUACUUUGUGUUAAAUUUGUAAUUGG
rnacentral:lncRNA from 1 species